GCCGAGAUAGCUCAGUGGAAGAGCGGCAGAACUUACGAAAGUGGGUGCUCUGCAGGUCGGUGGUUCGAGUCCACUUCUCGGCA
rnacentral:tRNA from 1 species